GGAGGUUAGGUUAACCGACUCAAAAGUUUACACCUGCACAGUUUGUAUAAUACCAAAAAGACAAUCAUAGCUAUAAAGCGUAAUAAGCUUGACUUACAUUUUGCUUGACCAAGUUUCUCAUUCUUCUAGUAAAAUGUAGUAUGUUUCUCAUGCAGUCAUGGAACCCAAAACUCUAAUUUUCAAAUUAAAAAAAUCAAUGCCCGAGAUCAAAGAAACCCUCCUAAAGAGAAUUUGGUUAACCAUUUUGGAAUAAUGCAGUAAUAAUUCCGAUGGGCGUUGAAUAUUUUCCACACAGCAACCAAAUUUGACAGUUUCCACCUCUUGAUAACAAAACCACUUCGAAAUUCUCCAAAAAGCCGUGCUAGCAAUGAUUAAAUAAUUCAGUACAUCCACAGAAAAUCCUUUAACUGUGCCAUGAACAAAACUAUUUUUGUAGAACUCACAAUGUCUACUCUUUAUCCACAAGGGAUGAAGAGCUUCCUAAAGGAAACAGGUUCAUUCCCAGCCUGUGGCGCCAGCAGUUGGGGCGGCAUCUGACACAGGAACUGGAACAGGUGCAGCUGCAGUGUCCCAGCCUCCUCCAGCAGUUGGGGCGGCAUCUGACACAGGAACUGGAACAGGUGCAGCGGCAGUGUCCCAGCCUCCUCCCUCAGCCACU
rnacentral:lncRNA from 1 species